AUACGGAGGAUCCGAGCGUUAUCCGGAUUUAUUGGGUUUAAAGGGUGCGCAGGCGGCCAUUUAAGUCAGCGGUUAAAUCGUGGGGCUCAACCCCAUUCUGCCGUUGAUACUGGGUGGCUUGAUUGCGGUCGAGGUUGGCGGAAUUCGUUGUGUAGCGGUGAAAUGCAUAGAUAUGACGAAGAACACCGAUUGCGUAGGCAGCUGACCAGACCGCAAAUGACGCUCAUGCACGAAAGUGCGGGGAUCGAACAGGAUUAGAUACCCUGGUAGUCCGCACAGUAAACGAUGAAUACUUGUUUUCGGCGAUAUAAUGUCGGAGGCAAAGCGAAAGCGAUAAGUAUUCCACCUGGGGAGUACGCCGGCAACGUUGAAACUCAAAGGAAUUGACGGGG
rnacentral:rRNA from 1 species